UACGUAGGGCGCAAGCGUUUAUCCGGAAUUAUUGGGCGUAAAGAGCUCAUAGGCGGUUUGUCGCGUCUGCCGUGAAAGUCCGGGGCUCAACUCCGGAUCUGCGGUGGGUACGGGCAGACUAGAGUGAUGUAGGGGGAGACUGGAAUUCCUGGUGUAGCGGUGAAAUGCGCAGAUAUCAGGAGGAACACCGGUGGCGAAGGCGGGUCUCUGGGCAGUAACUGACGCUGAGGAGCGAAAGCGUGGGGAGCGAACAGG
rnacentral:rRNA from 1 species